rnacentral:rRNA from 1 species
CCUACGGGAGGCAGCAGUAGGGAAUCUUCCGCAAUGGACGAAAGUCUGACGGAGCAAUGCCGCGUGGGUGACGAAGGUUUUCGGAUCGUAAAACUCUGUUGUAAGGGAAGAACAAGUACCAAGUAACUACUGGUACCUUGACGGUACCUUACCAGAAAGCCACGGCUAACUACGUGCCAGCAGCCGCGGUAAU